UGCGAACUCCUACGGGAGGCAGCAGUGGGGAAUAUUGGACAAUGGGGGCAACCCUGAUCCAGCAAUUCUGUGUGCACGAUGACGUUUUUCGGAAUGUAAAGUGCUUUCAGUUGGGAAGAAAAAAAUGACGGUACCAACAGAAGAAGUGACGGCUAAAUACGUGCCAGCAGCCGCGGUAAUACGUAUGUCACAAGCGUUAUCCGGAUUUAUUGGGCGUAAAGCGCGUCUAGGUGGUUAUGUAAGUCUGAUGUGAAAAUGCAGGGCUCAACUCUGUAUUGCGUUGGAAACUGCAUGACUAGAGUACUGGAGAGGUAAGCGGAACUACAAGUGUAGAGGUGAAAUUCGUAGAUAUUUGUAGGAAUGCCGAUGGGGAAGCCAGCUUACUGGACAGAUACUGACGCUAAAGCGCGAAAGCGUGGGUAGCAAACAGGAUUAGAUACCCUUGUAGUCCUGAGU
rnacentral:rRNA from 1 species